rnacentral:misc_RNA from 1 species
UCUCGGCUUAUCACCGGCAGUCCCCUUAGAGUGCCCAACUUAAUGCUGGCAACUAAGGGCAAGGGUUGCGCUCGUUGCGGGACUUAACCCAACAUCUCACGACACGAGCUGACGACAGCCAUGCAGCACCUGUCUCCAGGUUCCCGAAGGCACUCCCUCAUCUCUGAAGGAUUCCUGGGAUGUCAAGACCAGGUAAGGUUCUUCGCGUUGCAUCGAAUUAAACCACAUGCUCCACUGCUUGUGCGGGCCCCCGUCAAUUCCUUUGAGUUUCAGUCUUGCGACCGUACUCCCCAGGCGGAAUACUUAACGCGUUAGCUGCGGCUCUGAAGGGGUCGCUCCCACCAGCGCCUAGUGCCCAUCGUUUACGGCGUGGACUAC